rnacentral:rRNA from 1 species
GACGAACGCUGGCGGCGUGCCUAAUACAUGCAAGUAGAACGCUGAAGGAGGAGCUUGCUUCUCUGGAUGAGUUGCGAACGGGUGAGUAACGCGUAGGUAACCUGCCUGGUAGCGGGGGAUAACUAUUGGAAACGAUAGCUAAUACCGCAUAAUAGCAGUUGUUGCAUGAUAACUGUUUGAAAGGUGCAAUUGCACCACUACCAGAUGGACCUGCGUUGUAUUAGCUAGUUGGUGGGGUAAAGGCUCACCAAGGCGACGAUACAUAGCCGACCGGAGAGGGUGGUCGGCCAACCUGGGACUGAGACACGGCCCAUUGGCCUAGGGGAGGCAGCAGUAGGGAAUCUUGGGCAAUGGACGGAAGUCUGACCGAGCAACGCCGCGUGAGUGAAGAAGGUUGUCGGAUCGUAAAGCUCUGUUGUAAGAGAAGAACGAGUGUGAGAGUGGAAAGUUCACACUGUGACGGUAUCUUACCAGAAAGGGACGGCUAACUACGUG